rnacentral:rRNA from 1 species
UACGUAGGGUGCGAGCGUUGUCCGGAAUUACUGGGCGUAAAGAGCUCGUAGGCGGCUUGUCGCGUCGAAUGUGAAAACUUGGGGCUUAACCCUGAGCUUGCGGUCGAUACGGGCAUGACUGGAGUUCGGCAGGGGAGACUGGAAUUCCUGGUGUAGCGGUGAAAUGCGCAGAUAUCAGGAGGAACACCGGUGGCGAAGGCGGGUCUCUGGGCCGAUACUGACGCUGAGGAGCGAAAGCGUGGGGAGCGAACAGG